GGGGUUCCUUGGCGCUGACGAGUGGCGGACGGGUGAGUAACGCGUAGGAAUCUGCCUGGCAGCGGGGACAAACCCCGGGAAACCGGGGCUAAUACCGCAUAUACCCCACGGGGGAAAGACGGGGACUUCUUCGGAGGCCUGUCGCUGCCGGAUGAGCCUGCGUUGGAUUAGUUUGUUGGUGGGGUAAAGCCUACCAAGGCUGAUGAUCCAUAGCUGGUCUGAGAGGGUGAUCAGCCACACUGGGACUGAAACACGGCCAGACUCCCUACGGAGGCAGCAGUGGGAAUAUUGACAAUGGGCCGCAAGCCUGAUCCCCUAUGCCGCGUGUGUGAGAAG
rnacentral:rRNA from 1 species